rnacentral:rRNA from 1 species
UACGAGGGGGGCGAGCGUUGUUCGGAAUUAUUGGGCGUAAAGGGCGCGUAGGCGGCCUGUUAAGUCGAACGUGAAAUCCCCGGGCUCAACCCGGGAACUGCGUCCGAUACUGGCAGGCUUGAAUCCGGGAGAGGGAUGCGGAAUUCCAGGUGUAGCGGUGAAAUGCGUAGAUAUCUGGAGGAACACCGGUGGCGAAGGCGGCAUCCUGGACCGGUAUUGACGCUGAGGCGCGAAAGCCAGGGGAGCAAACGGG